GGUUAAGCGACUAAGCGUACACGGUGGAUGCCCUGGCAGUCAGAGGCGAUGAAGGACGUGCUAAUCUGCGAAAAGCGUCGGUAAGGUGAUAUGAACCGUUAUAACCGGCGAUGUCCGAAUGGGGAAACCCAGUGCAAUUCGUUGCACUAUCGUUAACUGAAUACAUAGGUUAACGAGGCGAACCGGGGGAACUGAAACAUCUAAGUACCCCGAGGAAAAGAAAUCAACCGAGAUUCCCCCAGUAGCGGCGAGCGAACGGGGAGCAGCCCAGAGUCUGAAUCAGCUUGUGUGUUAGUGGAACGGUCUGGAAAGUCCGACGGUACAGGGUGAUAGUCCCGUACACCAAAAUGCACAGGUUGUGAACUCGAAGAGUAGGGCGGGACACGUGGUAUCCUGUCUGAAUAUGGGGGGACCAUCCUCCAAGGCUAAAUACUCCUGACUGACCGAUAGUGAACCAGUACCGUGAGGGAAAGGCGAAAAGAACCCCGGCGAGGGGAGUGAAAAAGAACCUGAAACCGUGUACGUACAAGCAGUGGGAGCACCUUCGGGUGUGACUGCGUACCUUUUGUAUAAUGGGUCAGCGACUUAUAUUCUGUAGCAAGGUUAACCGUAUAGGGGAGCCGCAGGGAAACCGAGUCUUAACUGGGCGUUAAGUUGCAGGGUAUAGACCCGAAACCCGGUGAUCUAGCCAUGGGCAGGUUGAAGGUUGGGUAACACUAACUGGAGGACCGAACCGACUAAUGUUGAAAAAUUAGCGGAUGACUUGUGGCUGGGGGUGAAAGGCCAAUCAAACCGGGAGAUAGCUGGUUCUCCCCGAAAGCUAUUUAGGUAGCGCCUCGUGAACUCAUCUUCGGGGGUAGAGCACUGUUUCGGCUAGGGGGUCAUCCCGACUUACCAACCCGAUGCAAACUACGAAUACCGAAGAAUGUUAUCACGGGAGACACACGGCGGGUGCUAACGUCCGUCGUGAAGAGGGAAACAACCCAGACCGCCAGCUAAGGUCCCAAAGUCAUGGUUAAGUGGGAAACGAUGUGGGAAGGCACAGACAGCCAGGAUGUUGGCUUAGAAGCAGCCAUCAUUUAAAGAAAGCGUAAUAGCUCACUGGUCGAGUCGGCCUGCGCGGAAGAUGUAACGGGGCUAAACCAUGCACCGAAGCUGCGGCAGCGACACUAUGUGUUGUUGGGUAGGGGAGCGUUCUGUAAGCCUG
rnacentral:rRNA from 1 species